GGGGACAUUGCUCAGUUGGCAGAGUGCUUGCCUCCUAUGCACAAGGCCCUGGGUUUAAUCCCUAGUACCACCA
rnacentral:tRNA from 1 species